UGCAAAAUCAUUUGGGGGAGUAGAAGAUAAAUACUCAGAUAUUUUUGAAAUAAUUGAUAAGAGGUGGAAUGUUCAACUUCAUCGCCCUUUGCAUGCAGCAGGUUAUUAUUUGAACCCAGAAUACUUUUAUUCAAAUUCGAAAAUUGAAGAAGAUGAAGAGAUUGCAAAGGGUUUGUAUGCAUGCAUUGCAAGGUUAGUCCCCGAUGUCAAAGACCAAGACAAAAUUACUGAGGAACUGUCCUUAUAUUCUAAAGCUGAGGGCCUCUUUGGUAAUCCCUUUGCUAUUAGACAGAGAAGUACACGAGGACCAGCUAAUUGGUGGGAAGCUUAUGGCAAGUCAACAAAACUUCUCCAAAAGUUUGCUAUAAAGGUUUUAAGCUUUACUUGCAGUUCUUCUGGUUGUGAACGAAAUUGGAGCGUGUUUGAGCAUCUUCAUAACAAGAAAAGAAAUAGGCU